rnacentral:rRNA from 1 species
AAGUUGCAGGGUAUAGACCCGAAACCCGGUGAUCUAGCCAUGGGCAGGUUGAAGGUUGGGUAACACUAACUGGAGGACCGAACCGACUAAUGUUGAAAAAUUAGCGGAUGACUUGUGGCUGGGGGUGAAAGGCCAAUCAAACCGGGAGAUAGCUGGUUCUCCCCGAAAGCUAUUUAGGUAGCGCCUCGUGAAUUCAUCUCCGGGGGUAGAGCACUGUUUCGGCAAGGGGGUCAUCCCGACUUACCAACCCGAUGCAAACUGCGAAUACCGGAGAAUGUUAUCACGGGAGACACACGGCGGGUGCUAACGUCCGUCGUGAAGAGGGAAACAACCCAGACCGCCAGCUAAGGUCCCAAAGUCAUGGUUAAGUGGGAAACGAUGUGGGAAGGCCCAGACAGCCAGGAUGUUGGCUUAGAAGCAGCCAUCAUUUAAAGAAAGCGUAAUAGCUCACUGGUCGAGUCGGCCUGCGCGGAAGAUGUAACGGGGCUAAACCAUGCACCGAAGCUGCGGCAGCGACGCUUAUGCGUUGUUGGGUAGGGGAGCGUUCUGUAAGCCUGCGAAGGUGUGCUGUGAGGCAUGCUGGAGGUAUCAGAAGUGCGAAUGCUGACAUAAGUAACGAUAAAGCGGGUGAAAAGCCCGCUCGCCGGAAGACCAAGGGUUCCUGUCCAACGUUAAUCGGGGCAGGGUGAGUCGACCCCUAAGGCGAGGCCGAAAGGCGUAGUCGAUGGGAAACAGGUUAAUAUUCCUGUACUUGGUGUUACUGCGAAGGGGGGACGGAGAAGGCUAUGUUGGCCGGGCGACGGUUGUCCCGGUUUAAGCGUGUAGGCUGGU